rnacentral:lncRNA from 1 species
CUGGUUCCUUGCAGCUGUGACUCCCCAGGGUAAGAGGCAAAGAGCCACCAGGUCCCAGCUGAGGAAGCCCUGUGGUCAGCUCAGACAGGGAUGCGGACUGAAGCCGAAGCAGGUGUUAGUAAUUGUCGUACCUACAGACGAGGAAACCGAGCCUCCAUGAAGUGAAGUGACUCACCCACAGUCACACAGCUAAUAUAUGCCAGAGCCCACAGCAGAACCCAGACGUACUGAGGCCAAGUUCCAUGCCAGCAUAAAACAGGCUCCAGUUCUCCCUGGAUUCCAGGAACACCAUCUCCUUCCUCGUCCCUUCCAUCCCAGGGAAGGUUUACACUGAAAAUUUUUUGUGAUGAAAAGAUUUGAAGAAGAUGACAGGAGAUGGAGAAGCACCAGCUGAUCUGCAGACUCCAAGGAGGUCCCAGGAAGAGGAAUCUCAUCAAAUGACCAGGAAAGAAGCAAAGAGACGGAGUUGUCACUAUACCCAGAUAGACUACUCAUCUAUUCUCGAGGGCAGGUCUGACAACCUUUGUGCAAGGUGACGUUUCACUCCUCACCUUCCCAACACCUCCCCCAGAGCUCAGAGGAACUUUUGUCAUUUACUCCUACACACCUCAUCCCCGCCUUCCCUAAGAAGAGAGGGUAGACAGGCAUCUGGACCCUGCUGGGUUAUUAGGCCAUUACUCUUCUGCAAUUCCCCAUGGUAUGCACGUUAAAAUAAACGCAUGCCUUUUCUCCUGUUGCUCUGCCUUUUUCAGUUCAUUUUCAGCAAACCUUCAGAGGGUGAAAGGGGAAGUUUUCUUCUUUGUCCCUACAUUUUGCAUUGUCUUAUACCUUGACAUUUUUCUACUCGUCAAGUUAAACUGUAAAGCAAAAUAUAGAUCAUUAGCUGACUAAUUAUUUUUGAGUUAAAAAGUAGCUAGCAUUUGGUUUUGGGUACCACAGUGUGUCUAAUAUAGUCUUUUUAGAAGCAAUGAUCUAUAAACAUUUUUUAUCAUUCACCAUUUCUGGUUGAGUAAAGUGACUCACAGUUGUAGUCCUACCUAUUCAGGACGCUGAGGCAGGAGGAUCACUUCAGCCGAGGAAGGAGUUCAAGUCCAGCCUGGACGGUCUCUAAAAAUAUUAAAAUUUAAAAAAAAUUCUGAACAUGCAACCCCAAUAUGUAUUUAUUUGUAAAUGAUAUACUGUCACUAAUACAUUGACAUUAAACAAGUAGAAAACA